UGAGUUCUUAAAUACCGAAAAAGCUGAAACGGUAGAGCGUUUAAGAGAUGGGUGUGGCUAUAAAUAAGGCUGAGCACGACAAGUCAGAAUCUCAAAACCCUAGCAAUGGUUUCGCCUCUCAGAGAUGAAGCGGUAGAGAGCGAUUUGUACGUAUUUUUUAUCUCUUCGUUUCCGAUUAUAAACCUAAUUAUUUUUGCGUUUUGUAUGUUUAAUUGAAACUGUGAGGGGAGAAGGUGCUAUGAUGAUGAGAUCGAUAAUCUCGUUAAUCUGAUGAAUAGAUCAUUCAUGAGGAUAACUUUUCUCAUCCAUUCAAUAUUUCUUCUGAGCACACUCUCCUCUCGUUUUGUUAUAUGAACUAUGCAUUCCUCUUUAGUCUUGUUUUCAUAAUAAAUCUUUUGUUUUGAAAAUGACGGUAUGUUUUAAAAUCUGCUAUGAGACACUUUGGAGAAAAAUCAUGAAUCUCAUUUAUAUAUUUUUCUAUGAACUCCUUUAUUCUUUUUGUUUGAAUGUUGUGUAAUUAAUUUGAUAAAGAAAAAACUUGCACAUAUUACCUUUUCAAACUCCUUUUCAGUCUCUAAUAAAAAAUUAUUAUUUUUAAUUAAUUUAUUAUAAUUUUUUCAUAUUUUAAAAUAAAAGUGAUAAGUGUUAAAAUGAGAUUGAGUGAAAAAUUGGAUAUUCAUACCUCAUCAUUGUUACGAAGUAUAAUUUAUUAUCACUUUAGACAAAAUCGAUUGUAAUGUUUCUUUAAUAUAUUAUCCCCAAAUUCACGUUCCUUAAUUUUUAUUUAUUGUUUAAUUUAAGAUUUAUUCUUUAUUAAGAAAACUAAAACUAAACUAAGCUAUUCAAUUAGUGAUUAAAUAGAUAGUAUGUAUGAAAAUCAUAUAAAAACAAUAGUUUGUCAUCUAAUGAGUAUAAAACUUUAUCAAUUCAAUGACAACCCCAAUUGAAAUAUUAGAGCUUAAUAUAUGUAUAGCAAAGAUAUUGAGAAUAAUUGUUUAAUGAACAGUUUGUGUUGAAAAUGAAUAACCAAGAAUAAGAGGUAAUAUAUGUCAUUUUUAAUCAUCUUAAAGAUAUACCUAGCGGAAUGGCAUCCUAACGGAAAUAUAACACUAAUGCAAAACAGAAUGAAGAGAGAAAAACAAGAAAAAACAUAACAGAGAUAUUCUCUUAUAUUCUCCAAUAGUGCUUUCAAGCUCAAGGUUAACAAUUUGAUCGACAGCAGGAUGUGAGUAACACACAAGGACUGGUUGAGAACCUUUGAUUAUCAUAAUGAAUCAGAGGGGUGUUACAACGGAUGUAGAGUUCUUUGAGAGAGACUGCAAUGUCUCAACACUUGAACCAGCAACCGAAGUCUGCUUUUUACAACUGGAGAAAAUACAUCCGAACUUUUUUAAUGACAUCCCUUUCCUACAAGCCGUGCUUUAUAAUUAUUGAUAGUAACAUCAACGUUUUCUUUAACAUGAAAAAUCCAUUUGCACCCAAUAGAUGUGAGACUAGGAGGAACAAGGGUGGGAGUCCAAGUGUUAUUAGCCAUGAAUGCAUCAUAGCUUGCCGCCAAAUAGGAGAGGACAAGUAUAAGGAAAAAAGUAAAAUAAAAUAAUGAAAUAAUAUGGAAAGAAAAUAGAAGAAGAAUAUCACGAAAGAACACGAAAUAAUUUUUUUUUUUUAUUCCAUCGCUUAAGAGAAGGUGUUUUAUAUAAGUAGUACUCCUUACAAUUAAUAUUUAUUCAUAUGGAUAUAACGAUGUUCUCCUUUUUUAGGUAAGGGUGAUAUGUUAUUUACUAACAAAAUCUCUAAGAUAAAUUGGCUAACGAAUAAUCCUCUUAGGACGAUCAAUAAAAGCAUCUGGAGCAUUACUUGGGCUAUGUAACAUCUGGGCUAGUACUUGUGUUGUACUCACCUUGUGCAUAGUUAAUAAGAUUAGAGUAUUGUAAGGGCCCAAUGAUUCUUUCGUCUCCCUCCGGAUGGAGAAGCUCUUUCAUAACUCCCUAUGGUUCCCACGUAACAUCUUGUGGUGGAAGACCCCUCCAUUGCACCAAGUCUAAAUCAGAAUCUGGCUUAGUGUUCAGAAUAGCUAUGGGUUCCAAUAUGGGUUGAUUAUCAUUGAAUUUCAAGGGAAGUUUUCAAGUUGUUGUCAGGGGAUUUCCCUUGUGUGGUUUGAGACCCCUCCAUUGAACCAAAACCGUUUUUGUAACUUUUCCUGGUAAUGACCAGCAACUGAAACCUGACAGCGAAGACGAACAUAAACCCAGUCUCCAGGUUAGAAUUGGAGACUGCAAUGAUUGGUGUCUACCCAUCGCUUAAUAUCUGCUUGUGCCUUUUGGAGGUUGUAGUUGAGUUUACGGAUGAUGUCAGCUCUAGGUGCAAUUCAAACUGAACAACAACAUUUGAAGUGUCAGAAGAAAGACCUUGGGGAAUAGAUGAUGGGUACCAUACACGACUUCAAAUGGGGUCAUCUUGAUAGAAGCGUUAAUAGUGGUGUUGAAGCACCAUUUGGCCCAAGGAAGAAAUUUGCCCCAUAAUGAUGGCUUGUGAUGGAUGAAGCAACGAAGACAUUGUUGCAAGACCUUGUUAACCACCUACAUUUGGCCAUCGGACUAAGGAUGGUAAGUUGUGGACAUCCAUAAUUUGGUACAACUUAAGCGGAAGAAACAUAAGGUCCCGAUCAGAAAUUAAGCUCUUGGGAAGGCCGUCCAAUUUGCAGAUCAUGUGCAUGAAUAAGUCUGUCACUUUGGAGGCUAAGAAAGACCUGGUUAACAUGCCAAAGUGUGCAACCUUUGAGAACCUGCCUAUAACAACCAAUAUUGUAGAAUUGCCCUGGUAUGGAGGAAGGCCCACAAUGAAAUCUAGGUAUAAAUCCUCCCAACAUUUGGUAUGUGGAGGAAUUGGUUGAAGUAGCCCUGUAGGUUUUUGAACUGGGAUCUUAGUUUGUUGACAAAUUUCACAUUGGGUGACAAAUGUGUGGACAUUAUGACGCAUUUUGUCCCAAAAGAAGUUAGUUGCUAACUUCCCAAAAGUGCGUGCUACGCUAGGGUGUCCUGCCAAAGGUGUAGAAUGGUACUCAUGUAAGAAAGUGAGGAUGAAAGGGCAUGAUGGAGGAAUCCAGAUGCGUUAUUUGAAUACGAUCAACCCAUUUGUCAAAGAAUAUAGAGGAAAGUUAACAGGAUUUGUUGUGAUUCGUUGCUUCAGUGAAAGGAACUCGGUAUUGGUGGACACAUAGUACUGUAGAUCAGAUAUAAAAUCCAAUUGAGGAAUGGAUAAAAUGAGAAGGUAGUGCUCCUGUCAUGACUGUAAGAGCCUGGAUAAAGCAUUUGCUGCUGAAUUAGACUUCCCUGAGUGAUUUUGUUGAUAUGGAGUAAGAACGGUUUGGGAGAGUAACUCUUUGAUUGAUUUCUAGUUUGUUUGGAUAAUGAAUCUUCGGCCAAGUAAGUAUUGCCGCCACUUUUGUACAACUGAGGUAAUUUCGCAGAGUUCCCUAAUAUAAGUGGAUGAGUCUUGCAGCUUCGAGCAAAAUUAUUUAUUGAAAAUGUGAUGGGAUGUCCGUUUUGAGAGAGAACAACCCUCAUGCCUGAACCUGAUGCAUCAGCUUGAACUAUGAAAGUGUGAUAAAAAAGGGGCAGCGACAAAACAAAAGCAUUCGUUAGUGCCUCUUUCACAUGUUGGAAGGCCUAUGAGACACUAUAUUGCCAAAAGACAUUGUCACGUUUGAGGAAGUCAAUGAGAGCACUAGUGAUGGAGGCAUAACCUUUCACGAAGCGACGGUAGAAUCCAGUUAAACCCAAGAAGCCACAAAGAGACUUGACUGACGUGGGUGUUGGCAAAUCAAGAACAACUUGGAUCUUACUAGGGUCUAGCUGCACACCCUUAUUAGAGGCUAUGUGACCCAGGUAAUGUAUGGACUCCUUCCCAAUUGAACAUUUCUCCCCUUUAAGGUGAAAGCUAUUCUGGACUAGCAAUUGAAAAAUUCACUCCAAAUGGGAAAUGUGUAAAUCCAAUGCUGGACUAUAGACGAGGAUGUCGUCAAAAAAUAAAAUGAUGAAUUGACGAAGAUGUGGGCGAAAGAGGUCAUUCAUGGUGGCCUAAAAUGUAGAAGGGGCCUUGCAUAACCCAAAUGGCAUGACUCUGAAUUCGAAAUGGCCGUAUGUGUGCGAAAGACAGUUUUGCCACAAUCACUAGGAAGCAUCAAGAUUUGGUGGAAACCCGAAAAUAGAUCCAACUUUGAAAACCAAGUGAUUGAAUUGUGUACCAAUGAUACAAAUCUGUGCUUAAACUGGUGAUUAACUUGUGAUAUUCUGCAUUGUGCACACAAACUAUUUUUGAAAUUCAUGCAUAAUGGUAGUGGGAGUAUCACUUCUUUGCAUAUUGCUUCAUCACACACCUAUUUUUCAGGGGGAGUUUAUAUUUGUAUUUGUGAUGAACUUGUGAUUUUGAGAGCAUCAUUGUCAUUUUGAAACUGCAUAUUUGUUUGAUGCUUCUCUGUUUUCAAAACUUCAUAAAUAUCAAAGCAUUCCUUUUUUGUUAUUUUUGCUGCUUAUGCAGAGUAACUGAACUGUCUUUAUUGAUUUUGCUAUUUGUUUUUACUCUGUCAUAUGUGGAACUGUACAAACAUGGUUGAGUUAUUAAUCAUGGUUGUGCGUCAUAAAAAAAGGGGGAGAUUGUUGAGAUUGUUGACAUCACGAACUCUAUAUCAAACUGGUUUUUUAUGAUGGCAACACACUGCUUAAUAACAGUACAUAAGUUCCAGGAUUACAUGUUCAACUGUAUAACAAACUAGAUUGAACAAAUGCUUUUGUUGAACAUGUUUUGUUGAUUUGCAAUGUGUGUUCCUAUGAUGGAUUAUGUGUUACAUGUAUGGAACAUGCUUGUAUUGAAAUGUGUGAUAAAAUAAUUUUGAUUACUUCUGCACAUUUCUGAAGAAAAGCUCACAAGCACUUUUAUGAACUUAUAUUUGUUGUGACAAAGGUCUAGUUCAGUCGAAUACACUGGUAAUGGAUUCGACUAAGCUAAAACCUUUGUACAGAUUUUGUGAACCUGUGCUUGGUGAGAUUUUGAGUUGAAAAGAAUUUCAAAGUGAUUUUUCAUGUGUAAGUCGACAGUGUGGAACACCUAUUCGACUAUGUUGCUGUUAUUUUUGGAAUUUUGUUAUGCCUACUUGCUCCAACAGCUAUAUUUUCAAAGGUUAGUUAAGAUUGACUGACUGGGUCGACUGUCUUAAAUGUGUAUUGAUUUGGUUGACUGAGGAGCCUUUGUGUUGACUGUCUGUUAUAACUAUUUUAAUACAGUCGACUGUAUUAGUAGACAAUUCGACUGAGAAUGACAGGAAAACUAUAAAUAGAACAAAACACGAAUUGUUCUGGGACUUUUGUGAUCUAACAUUUUCAUUGUCCUGUUUCAGAGAAAGUUCUUAGUUUAGGAAGCUCCAAGAAUUCUCCAAGAAGGCGGUGGUGAGCUUUCUUGAGAGAGAUUUAGAUUGAGGAGUCUUUUGCGCAUACUGUUUGAUCACAUCUGCACAAAGGAGGUGCUUCUGGUUUGAUCCUGAAGGCUUGACAUCCUGUAAGACUGUUGUAUUGACUAAAGGCUUGGCAACCUGUGAAGUCUGCUGUGAUAGGCUUGGCAACCUGUGAAGCGUGCUGUGAUAGGCUUGACAUCCUGUGAAUAAUGCUGGUUACACGUUGAGGAUUGGUCUACGUGGGUUCAGAUUGCAGAAGAGGGGAUUCUUGUUGCAAUUCUAGUUUUGUUUGUGCAGCUAUAUUUGGUUUUGGGUUAGAGAGGAGAUUUAUAUUUUUGCGUGGUGCUUCUAUAAAUUCCUUGCUGUAAAAACCGCAACCAUUAUAGUGCAUUUGCUUCCAAGAUUGGAAGGACACUAGAUGUAGACAUUGUUGGCCGAACCAGUAUAAAAACCAGUGUUUUAUUUUCUCUAUCUCUACACUCUUUAUUUCAGUCGACUUUAUUUGUUUAGCAGUCAACUACGUUUUUCCGCUACUCUGAAAUUUUUAUUACUUGCAUUUCAAGGAAAGAUCAAAAGCUUUGAAUUUUCAUACCAAGAUUGCGAAAAGACUUUGUUUUUGAACUAACACCAAUUCACCUCCCCUCUUGGUGUAAAACGAAGACAACCUGUUUCUUAACCGUACGAAAUCUUCAGCAUGACUUUUGGUGGAGAGAACAUUACAUUAAUGUUUUUUUUUGUUUCUAACAUCCACUUCUAACUUGUUCAUGAUGGAGCAUAUGGAUACUUGUAAUAAGCAUUUGCACAUAGUAGAGUAGAAAUGUAUGCUAACAGAUAUGUCAUUUUUCUUAUUACUUUUAUUGUUUGAAACAUUGUUCAUUUAAUGUUUUGCAUUGCGUGUUCAAAACAACUUUGUCAAUUUUUCUAUACAUGCAAAACUUUUAAGCAUAUUUUGAAAGGUACCAAGUAUUGAUUCAUAAAGGCUUCAUUAUUAGAUGAAAAUAUCGUUUAGUAUCAAGGUAUCAUUUAUCCUUUAAAAGGUGUUUACUAACAACACAUUGUUUAAUGAUCUUUGUUUAGUACGAGAGCACGUUUAGAAAAGUGUUAUUCAACAUAUUAUUUUUGGAGCAUUGUUUACAACUUUAGUGCAUUUAGCAAAAAUAUCAUGUAGCACGUUUAUUUAGUAAGAUACAGUAGGAACGGUUUAACAAAGAUAUCAUGUAGCACUUUGACACGUUUACGAUGAUAUCAUUUAGUUCAAUGAUCCUUUCAUAAUAAACCAUCUUCUUAGUAAUGUGUUUAUUGACCAUUGGAUCGUUUAGUCCUAGCACGUUCACUGAAACUUUUCUUGUUCAUUCAGAUUCAUAACGCUUGUUUCAUAUGAUGUCUUUCAUUCAACGAUAUUAUUUUCACAAAGAUAGUACUUUGUCAAAUACUUAUUUCGUUUAUUGUUGUUUGUUAAACUUCAAAACAUAAAGGUGUUAGAAGGCCUUGUCUUAUAGAAGAUCUUGUCUUAACAAAAUAUACAUAGAUGACAUCAUUUUUUGUGAUACUAACAAGUUAUUAUGUGAGGAAUUCUAAAGUCUUAUGAAGAGUGAGUUCAAGAUGAACAUGAUGGGAGAGUUAAAGUUUUUCCUUGGUUUGCAAAUAAAACAAGCUUAGGAUCAUAUCUAUAUCCAUCAACCAAGUACAAACGAGUAAAGUCAUGUUCUUAAUACAAGUAGUCAUUCAAUCAAGGGCUGAGGAAUCACACUGAGUUCGAUAACCUUAGGUUCUAAAGUUAAGGAAUUGAUUUAGAAAUACCUUAAAGAACUUUUAGGAACACUAAGUAAUGAACUUGACAUAUACGAUCAAUAAUAAUGUAGUAGAGGAAGACUUACCAAAUUUAAUCCUAAAAUUUAUAUCAACAUCAACUAGAUCAACCAUUAAGCAAUUCAUAUGUUAAGAUUGUUGAUAAGGGGAGCACUGGUUUAACUAAGCCUUACAAUCUCAGAACUUCUGGUUAUUGAUGAUGACAACACAUUAUUAAUAACACAUGUUUUUAUAUGUGUUACAUGUUCAUAGCUUUCAUGUUUAUGAUUAAAUCAGAACAUGUUUCUGUUGUUUCUGUCAAAACAUGCAAAUUGACUGUGUUUGACAUGAGAUCUUUUUUGUGAUUGCAUAACAAAUGUUUUGAAAAAGGAAAACCACAUGCACUUUUAUUGAACUUAAAUUGUGUGGCAAAACAACAAUUUUAAGUCGACUUCAUUAUGAAGUAAGUCGAUUAAAACUCGUGACUUUGCACAAACUUUUUAAAAGUGUGAUGUGGGUAUUUUUAGAAAGAAAGUCUUUCAAAAUUGCAUUGAACUGUUACAAAGUCGACUGUGUGCGCAAGCAACUUGACUUAGUUAGUUAUGUUUUGAAGUUCUGUUAAUGUUUGUGAUGUCUAACGACUAUAUUUUAUUUGUUUGACCAAACAUUGAUUGUGAGUCAACUGUAUUAAAUGCGUAAUCAAUUAAGUUGGUUUGACUGCUGCUAACUGUUAUAACUGUCUGAGUAUAAUCGACUCUAUUAGUAGCAAAGUCGACUUAGGAGCGUCAGUUUUGUGGAAAACUAUAUAUAGAUGCGAAUUUGAUUUCUGCAUAGAAUUUUGUGAUUCUAAUGAGUUAAUUGAUUUCUUUUCAGAUUUCUGAUCUCUUGUAGAACGUGCAAAAGCUCCAAGAAUUCAUCAAGAAGAACGUGGUGUUCAUCUUUGGUGAUUACUUGACGAGCAAGAAUAUGUGUGCUCUUACUGUCUGAUCAACCUGCACUUGAGGUGUUUGUUUUGUGACCAGUUUCUAUCAAUCUUUUGAAGAUUGGAGUUGCCCUGUUGUGACUACAGGAAGAGGACAUGCUGCGUUCUGGACUUUGAGGAUUGUUCAAAGUGUUAAAGACUACAGGAGAGGGGACAUCUUGCUGUUGUUCUUUGUUUGUACAUGCCUAUAUUUUGAUUAAAGGGUUAGAGAGGUGUUUUAUAUUUUGACGUGGAGGUCGCUAUAAAAUCCUUGUUGCAAAAACCUUGAUCAUUAUAGUGCAUUUGCUUCCUGGGAUUGAAAGGACACUAGAUGUAGGCAGUUUGGC
rnacentral:lncRNA from 1 species